UGUACAUGCCUAUAACAUAGCACUAAUGCAUCGGAUCCCAUUAGAACUCCAUAGUUAAGUGUGAUCAUGCUAGAGUAGUAUUGGGAUGGGUGACAUCCUAGGAAUUCCUAGUGUUUUUACAU
rnacentral:rRNA from 1 species